GCGAGCCGGCGAGCGACCGAGGUAAAGGUAUCGCGCCUUAGACAGAGGCCACCAAUGUUGGGUUUCAUUUUGUAGUAAAGUACCUUAUGAUCAUCUUUUGUAUUUGAUGAUUAGUAAUGUAAAGAAAAGAAUAUAAAGCUUAUUUUGAGGAAAAUGUGAUGUAAGAAAGAAAUGAUGAAGUUAUGUAAUGGAAUGCAAAGAAUUCAAAAAUUUUUAGAUGAAUGCAAUGUAUAUGAU
rnacentral:lncRNA from 1 species